CGAUGAUAUACAGAGAAGUCUAACUAUCGUCGUCGUGCCUCCAUUACCACCACCAUCUUGGCCACGCAUGCCAAACCGUAUCAAACAUCAUCGAUGACACACGCUUUUCUCUAUACAUAUAUCUGUUAUAUAAAAUCAUCUACAUGACGCAUCAUCGUCUCGUGACCUGAAUAAAUGGCGCAGCAUUGCCGUUCGAGUUGAAAGUUGUCAGUCUAAUUCAACAAAGAGAACAAAGGAAUUCGCGAAGAAAUUUUAAGAUCAGUAUUAAAUACCAUUUUGUCUCUUAAUAUACAUAUUUUUAUGCGUAAAUAAAUGAUAAAAUUAUUAAUUACGAUAUAUGAAUAAUUUAAUAAAUAUAUACAAAAACAAAGAUUUUUUUAUCUUGUUUCAAACUGUAUUCUAAAUUGUAUUCUAAUGCUUUCUCGCAAAUUAUUAUUUGCGAUGCAUAUUCAGAUUACAGUGAAAUCGUUCUGGAAUCUAGAAAUUUCGAUCGAUUCGCGGCUUCGAAUUGCGAAUUAUCGCGCUAAACAUUAAUGUCUAUAUUAACAAAAUAUAUUUACAUAUUGUUAACGUAAAUUGUUACAAGCAUGCAAUUGCAACGUGCGAUAAAACAAAUUUUCAUUUUGUCAUAUUUAAUUGUAUAUCGACAUCGAUUUGGGACUCGAAACUCGACAGCUCUAAGCAAUUACCGUGGUUAAUAGAUAUAGAUAACUGAAGAAUGGACAAAGAGAGGGAUAUCGUUCAGCUAAUUUGCAAUUCAAUGCUUAACGCGGUAGAGGCCGAUCGAUAUUUAAACCUAGCCUUCGUUUCUAAUUAACAAUAUUCCUUAAGAGGGAUUGCGUUCUAUGAAGACAAUCCAAAGUCGAAUAAUCCAUAAAUCGUUUAUUAAAUAUUUUUUUUUUCUAUACAAUUCCGUCGCGAUGGUAAAAUCGGUGUCGCAAACCAGCUGUCGAAACGAAACAUAUAUAUAUAUAUAUAUAUAUAUAUUUAUAUAUAUAAGGGAUCGUAUAAAGUUGAAAACGAAUAGCGUAAAUCAGAGUUUGUUCUACAUAAAUAUAACAAAUACGUUUACAUGGAAUGCUUCGCUAUCAAAGUCGCGUCAAUACAGUACAAAAGGAGUCGCGAUACAUUUUACAGACAAGUACAUUUAUUUGACAUGUAAGUACGGUAUAAAACGGAGACUCGUGUACAGUUGGAAUUUGUUAUUUAGAGUUUCGUUUUAUUAAAUCUAUUCGACUGGACGAAUAUUGCUCCGGUUAGCGUACUCGAAAUGUUUCACAUCGCGCUGAUCGUCACAGACGAUACGAGUGCGAGUUUAAGAAGCAUACGUCUGUAUUAACACCUAGUUAGAAAACUUCUCACAGCUCGCUAUUCGUUAUAAUACUCUAUAUACCUCUAUACAUUGAGCUUUCUUCAUCGACGGAGACACGAUCUCUCCAUAAUAAUAUUCUGUAAUAAUAAUUGUUACACGCGUACCGUGUGUCUGUAUAUGUGUGUACAAUAUGUAUAUCUAUAUACGUAUGUGUGCAAUAAUAUAAAUAUAUCGUAUAAACAUAAUAUAUAUAUAUAUAUAGAUCUGAAUGGGGGACUCUGAACUUCCUUCUUUUGUUAUCCGUCCAACGAUAUCGUUCAACAAGGAUUCGUCGCUGUGAAAAAGACAGAUAAGGCGGAAGAACCGGCGGGCAACAAUCGCUUCGGACUUCGGUCAACGAAAGGAACGAAAAUCCUCACGAAAUUACGUGAAAAUUCUUUGUUCGAUCGAUCACACUUCCUUGAUCACUUUUCGAAUAUCGACGAAUCCUCGUGAACAAUAUUAUAAAAUAUUUGCAAAAAAUAUACAUUAAUAGAUUCGUGUACAUGAAAGGCAACGAAACGAAUGACAUGUCAUAUAAAUAAAAAUGAGCUUGAACGUGAAUCGCGACAGAACUCGAACUCGAAAUAAGAAUGUGAGAAAUGACCGCGAGAAAGGUAUCGAGAUCAUACAGGUACAAUUUCCAGUAUUCAAAUAAGUAUACGUAAACUUUAUUUCGUCAGAUUUAUCAUAUUGUGUUAAUGGUACGUAUGUAUAAAUAUAUACACAUAUAUGUAUAACUCUUACGUGCCAGUUUCGUUUACGUUGUUACAUUAUGCGCUGUAAUCAGAUAAUGUGAUUAGUCCUUACAUCUAAGGAAAGGAGAUUCGACGAACGCAACAAGAAUAAAUAGAAGGAUGAGAAACAGAAGGAAAGACACGCUGCGUUCGUUGCAUAUUUUAGUCCCAUUUUAGUCGAAAUAACUAUAAACCUAUGAGAAUUUUCGAAAGCAAGAUUUCUUCGACGGAAGCCAGAUCAAUCUGUACUUUGGUUCUCGCUUUCUUUUGUUUUUCCGCCAUAGAUGGAACUAAAAUAUAUAUAUGUAUAUAUCCUUCUUUAAUUGAGAAUCCGUACAACUUGUCGAGACAGGUCGAGACAAGGGUACACAUGCGUUUAAACGCUAGAUCUUGUCGAAUAGAAUUUCACGUACAAAUAUCGUACGAAAUAUAUAUAUAUAUAUAUAUAUAUGUAUGUAUAUAUAUAUGUAUAUAAUAUACGUGAGAAAAAAUUUCGAUUUCGAAAAAAGUCAGAAAGAGACGAUCGUACAUGUGGUGAGAAACGAAUAAUUCUAAAUAAAUAAUAAUUCUAAAUACAAAUAGUAGAAAUGAUUAUUUAAUACUUAGUUUCUUGGGAGAGGGGAGGAGAUAAACAGUAAACACAGUGAGAGUAAGUGAGGCGCCAAUGUGACAGAGUUAACAGAAAAACUUUAGUUCUUCGGAUUGUGAAUAUUGAAAUGUGUACUUUUUAUUAAGGAAUACACGCGUAAUGACAGAGAAUCAAGGUAUUUCGAUGUAUAGGGAUAAAAUGAUCUGUUCUGUCCGAAAGAUAAGAUAAAAAUAAUUCAUUUUUUUCUUCUUCUUAUUUUACGCGAUUAUAUUAUAAAUACUAUUAAUAAGAAAUACUUCUUAAAAAGGAUCUUGGUCUUUCGAUACACGUAUGUACAUACAGAACCUGAGCUGAGAGAAAAAUAAAAAUGGAAUGUAUUUUUAAAACUUCUUUUUUAAUAAUAAUAUAACAAUAUUCGGUUAAAUAUUCAUGAACAUCAACAUACAGUAUCCUUAUCUACGUUACAAAUUGUUAAGAGAAAAACGAAGUCUUUUUGACGUCCAAGAGUAUAAAACUGUAGCAAAAACCUAAAUUCACUUUUCCCUCCACGAAUGGAUCGUGAGGCUAACUUUCACACAUCUAAACCGAACAUAUAUAUUUUACAAAACGCGUUUACAAAAGGAAUAGCGAACACGGGGGCAAACAAGAUGUUAACUAAAGUUUUUCCUAAGUCACUCUGCGAACGGUCUUUACAACAGGAGAUACAAAAAUGAUGUAUCUGAAUGGCGACGGUGACAGUGUCUUUUCUUUCCAUAUCCGUUUGUCUCGUUCAGCGAGAACGACGAGAAUUUCACCAUCAUAAAAAAUAAAUAAAGGAAAGCGCAUCAUUAAAUAUUGUACAUUUAUCGUGACCGAUGCAGUGUUGGAUCAGGAUUCGGGGCCGAGUCGAGAGAAAAUUUUCUCCGUCCCUCUCGAGACCUUUUCCCGGGAAAAGAAAAAAAACUGGGAUGAAGAAUGGCGUGUUUUUUCUUUUUUCCUUUUUUACCUUAGGGGGAUAAAUGUUACAUUUGUGUCUCAUUAAUUUUUAAUUAGAUAAUCAAUUCACUAAUUAUGAAAUGUCAUAAUAAAAGGUAGUAAUCUAUAAUCGGUAUUUCAAUAAUAAUAGCAUAAUUAUAAUAAUUAUGUUCAAUAAGUUUUGUUUGCAUUUAUCAUCUAUCGAAUAAUUAAUAAUAUUUACUUCAUCAUAAUGUAACCGCGAUCUAUAUUGUUUAAUAAUAUAAAAAAAAACAAAUCGUGUAAUAUAUAUUUAUAUAUAGCAUUGUAUCAUUCGCUUUUCAUUACAAUAAUAAUAAAUUGUCAUGAACGCAGACGUACCAACAAAUCCGACGUUUAAAUCCUGCUUCCGUUUCUUUAUUUCUUUCUUUCUUUCUUUCUUUUUUUUUUUUUUUUAAUCGAACUACGGAAACAAGUUUUUGCAAAUUUACGAGCCAUCUCUUCCUUGAUGUUUGAGAACAUUUAAGAUUCAUUUUUACACACGUAAUUAUGUCCUCGAACUAAUUCUAGAAAGAGAGCACCACAUUUUUCUUUCUUUUUUAUUUGUCACAUACACAAUUUUUUUUCACAAUUCGCUCACAAACGAAUCAGAUUUCUUAGAAUUGUGCCGUUUUUUUUUAAUUAGUUAUUAUAAUUAAUGAAAUCACUCGAUAAAAUGUUAUUGUUGCAUAGGUCGCGAUCGUCGGGUUGGUACACUACAGCGUUCAAACGUCCGCACUUAAAGAGUUUACUACCAAAAAAGGUAUACCACUUUCAGAUUUACAACACUGCCCUAAACACAGCCAUACUAAGCCAAAUACUUUUGGGUUUUCGUCGUUACAAUUACUCUCCUUUUACUAUUUUAUUAAUAAAAUUAUUUAUUUAAAUCUAUAGUCAAUUAUCAUCCGUAUUUCAUUUUUUUACUUUUUUUUCUCAUUUUAAUUAUUCUGCCUAAUCUUUUCUUUUCGUUUUAACUCACUUUUAGAAAUAGUUUAAAUACAUCAAAUUUAUCUACGAUUCGUUUUUCAACCGAUCUACAAUUGACCCGCUCGAUUCAAUUGAAACUACAUAAUUCGGAAACGUCAAUUUUUCUUUCUUUUUUUUUUUUUUUUUUUUCAUGUAAAAGUAAGAUCUUGGAAAUAUGAAACUAGGUGCUCCUUUUAUAAAAUUGAUUUAUAUUAAAAAAAAAACAAAAAAAAGAAAAAAAAGAAAGAAAAGAAAAGAAAAGAAAAAAAAUAAGAAGACAGAAGGAAAAGAGGAUAAGAAAAAGGAUGUACAACAAAGGAAUGUUUCAAGCAUGUGUUGACGAUUCAUGUAAACAAAUUUCAAUAAAACUUAAAAUAACAAAAAACAACAAUUUUUCAAAUUUUCAUCUUAAUUAAAUGAAACGAGAUCAACUUGUUAUUUAAAAUGAUUUUUUUUUUUUUUUUUUUCAUUAAACUUACUCCCUCCCAAU